rnacentral:rRNA from 1 species
UACGAAGGAUGCGAGCGUUAUCCGGAUUUAUUGGGUUUAAAGGGUGCGUAGGCGGCCUUAUAAGUCAGUGGUGAAAUCCUAUCGCUUAACGAUAGACGUGCCAUUGAUACUGUAGGGCUUGAGUACAGAUGCCGUUGGCGGAAUGUGUCAUGUAGCGGUGAAAUGCUUAGAUAUGACAUAGAACACCAAUUGCGAAGGCAGCUUACUACACAAUUAUUGACGCUGAGGCACGAAAGCGUGGGGAUCAAACAGG